GAAUUUUGAUUUUUCUGGAGUAGCUAUAAAACAGGUCUUCAAUAACAAAAAUGCAAAUAUUAUUUUGGUAAGUGUUGAGUCCCAACAGGAAACAAAGGACACUCUAUCUAUUUAUAAAGACACCCUUGGUAAAGGUCUGUGUAGUAUGUUGGAGAUAUUAAUGAAUACAGCAAGAACCCUGGUCUAGCAGCAGUAGGGAUGCCCUCUAAUCCUAUCCCAGGAGAAUGAAAAGUGGAUAUUCUACUGGUGUAGAAAAGGAGAAAGAAUUGUGUAGGGCAAGUUGCCUAGGAGAACACAGUAAUCCUGAGACAACCUACCAGAACAUGGGACCUAAAUGAAUAAAUGCGUAAACUCACUUAUUCUUCUCUCCAAUCUUCUCCCAGUAUCCCCACUGGCUCAUCCAAGGAGCAUUCGUAUGUGUCAUUGGCUUGUUAAUAGAAUCUGGGAGAUCAACCUUUUGGGGCAGAGAGCAAAGUGGAAAAGGCUGAGAGUACAUCUGGAAGAGCAUAUGGCUGGUAUCUGGUUCAGGAAUUCAAUACAUCUAGCUUUCCAGUUCCUCUGUGGAAUACUUCAUCAUCUGGCAUAUGACCUCAGACCAUCUCCCAGAAAAAUAAAACCUCAGGAAUUAACAAGAACAGCUGAGGAAGGAGUCCAGUGAAAUGACCCCAUUUGUUUAACCAUUCCAGAAAAAUCCUCAUCAUCUGGGCUUUGUCUUCAGACCAGAUUCCAGGGUGCCAUACUUCCAGGUGUCAGACCAAGACACAGUGGUGCCAAAGGAAAGAGACAAUGUCUGCUUCUUUGAGAACACCUUGCCCAGGAUCUGGACCCAGGCUUAGCACUCAGCUUGCAUUGGCGAAAAUUAUAUCACAAAUCUACACUUAGGCCAAUUGUCAAGGGUAAGGUAAUGACUGAGACUGGCUUAUAAAAUUUAGGAUCCAUGCCUUGGGACUGCAGAUUGUUCUAGACUUCUCAGAAAUGUCAGGAUCAUAGUGGAUCCAGGAACAACAUGACAGUUCUAUAAAGAAGGAGAGAGGGCAUACAGAUAGACAGGGAAGCAACCACCAGUGUCUCCUAUACAAGAGUACGAGGAGGAAACCAGUGUUUUCCUUGACUUGAAAUAUUCUAUCACAUUUGAAUAUUCUCCAAAUGGGAUAGUGUCAUAUUUUUCAAAUAUACAGUAUACUUUUGGGUGAUUAAAUGAAGUGGAUAAAUUACAUCACCACCUACCCACCCUUGUCCUUUCUGUUACCUCUAGCUCCUGUCUUCCCAAGCUCCUGGAUUUGCAAUGUCUUAUUACCUUCUCGAUUUUCUUCUAUAUCUGAACUUACCAAGCCAGUAUUCUCAUCCUCUCUGUAGGGAGGUAUUGAGGUACUUGAAGGUGUUCAUUUGGCUUAAUAGGGUACCUCUCUCAGAUAUGUUUGAAGUUUAAGAGCCAUUUGUAAUAUUGGUAGGACAAAAUAAGAAGGAAGAGGAAGGGGAGGAGAAUUAUGGUAGAAAUUGUAGGUCAUAAAACAGACUGAUGGUGGAGAUAUUUUGAGUAAAAGAUAUCUCUUUUCUUCUGCAAAUAAUUUACACAGGCCCUGAUUUUGCUUAAAAUCAUGGCUUUCAUAUGUAGCAAAGGUUACUCUUAGCCCACAACAAAUAAAUGCUUUGCAAUUAUAGAACAGUUAGCUCUGAUAAGGUGAAAGCAAUUUGUAAAGCUUUGUCACAAUAUUAAAGUCUCUAGCCUAGUAUUCUGUCCAUUGUAGUUCAGUUAAUAUGACUACAUAAAACCUACACAUGUAGGUAAGUCGCUGU
rnacentral:lncRNA from 1 species